GAUCUACGCAUCAGGUCAGCGUCGUUUGUCUGACGUAGCACCAUCCACCUAGAGAAUACUCACAGGCGUCGAGUUUUCCCGAAAUUGUUUUAUGAGAGGUAACUCUCUCUCCCCGUUUUCAAGGUUAGCGCAUUCCUCUCUCCUUCUUUUUCAUCCCAGUUGACGAGUUCUGAAUUGCUAAAAGCAAGGAGAGGGGAAUACGUUACCCUUGAAAACGGAGGGAGAGAGUUACCUCUCAUAAAACAAUUUCGGGAAAACUCGACGCCUGGGCUAAUUCGAAUCAAUAUUAGAAUGCGUACUGGUGAGAAUUUCCAAACAUGAGAUGGUUCAAAUUAAAACUGGAAAACCGUGCCAUGUGGCAGGCAUAUCCCGGUUUGCGAGAAAAUCCACAGUCUCACCGAAAAGUUAUAAAUUGUUAUUUACGGUGCUAUGGAAGAACUGAAGAAUCAAAAGAUAAUUAGAAGCAAAUGUGUUUUUGCGAAGAAGAGAAAUUGGUUUGGUCGCUGAUGAAUUGAGACAGCAAAUAAACAGUGAUUAUGAAAGUUCAUACAACUCAGUUAUGAACAUUGUUAUCAGUAGCAACUGUUAACAAAUAUUACAUUAAAUUUAUUGAUAUCGAGAAAGCUGAUUAUUUGUUUCUGUUACGGAUAUUUAUAUGUAAUAAUUGAUAAAAAUGAUAGUAUAAUAAACAAAUUAAUAUUGAAGUAAGGAAAACAACCAAUGAUUACAAAAUUAAUUCUGAAAAUUCUGAGAAUUUUCUAUUACAUCAAAGUAGGUUCAUAAAUGAAAUCUUGAGUGAAUAUACAGGGCAUCGUCAAAACGCCAGAUGCGUUAGGAAUGAGACUAGAUAAGUACAAGGAUUUGAAAAGAGUUGACAUUUUGCCCUAAGAAAUUCUGGGAAGUAUUGGAUACCUAGUAUUUUCGAAAAGGGUGUAUCUUUAAGAAGUGUAUCUCAGGUGACCACUUAGUAGAGUGCAUGUACCAGAUCAAAAUAUUUCACGACAGAAUCAACGGAAAGUAAACUUUUGUAAUAACAAUUUAAUGUAUCUGUACGAAUAAACAAUGUAUAUAAACACGUA